UACAGAGGUCCCAAGCGUUGUUCGGAUUCACUGGGCGUAAAGGGUGCGUAGGUAGCGGGGUAAGUUUGAUGUGAAAGCUCAGGGCUUAACCCUGAAAUGGCAUUGAAUACUACUCUGCUGGAGGUUUGGAGGGGGGACUGGAAUUCUUGGUGUAGCAGUGAAAUGCGUAGAUAUCAAGAGGAACACCAGUGGCGAAGGCGAGUCCCUGGACAACACCUGACACUGAGGCACGAAAGCUAGGGGAGCAAACAGG
rnacentral:rRNA from 1 species